rnacentral:rRNA from 1 species
UACGUAGGGGGCAAGCGUUGUCCGGAAUCAUUGGGCGUAAAGCGCGUGUAGGCGGCUCGAUAAGUCUGCUGUAAAAAGUCCAGGGCUCAACCCUGGAAAGCCGGUGGAAACUGUCGAGCUAGAGUCCGGAAGAGGCGAGUGGAAUUCCUGGUGUAGCGGUGAAAUGCGCAGAUAUCAGGAGGAACACCAAUGGCGAAGGCAGCUCGCUGGGCGGUACUGAGCUGAGACGCGAAAAGCGUGGGGGGAGCAAAACAGG